rnacentral:rRNA from 1 species
CCUACGGGAGGCUGCAGUGAGGAAUAUUGGUCAAUGGGCGGAAGCCUGAACCAGCCAAGUAGCGUGCGGGAUGAAGGCCCUGCGGGUCGUAAACCGCUUUUGCACGGGGAUAACACCCUCCACUUGUGGAGGUCUGCAGGUACCGUGCGAAUAAGGGCCGGCUAAUUCCGUGCCAGCAGCCGCGGUAAUACGGAAGGCCCGAGCGUUAUCCGGAUUCAUUGGGCUUAAAGGGAGCGUAGGCGGGCGUUCAAGUCAGCUGUAAAAGCGCGCGGCUCAACCGCGCCCCGCAGUUGAAACUGGACGCCUUGAGUUCACAACAGGCAGGCGGAAUUCGUGGUGUAGCGGUGAAAUGCAUAGAUAGCACGAGGAACCCCGAUUGCGAAGGCAGCCUGCCGGGGUGCGACUGACGCUGAGGCUCGAAGGUGCGGGUAUCAAACAGGAUUAGAUACCCGUGUAGUC